UGGGGAAUAUUGCGCAAUGGGGGGAACCCUGACGCAGCCAUGCCGCGUGAAUGAAGAAGGCCUUAGGGUUGUAAAGUUCUUUCGGUAUUGAGGAAGGUUGAUGUGUUAAUAGCACAUCAAAUUGACGUUAAAUACAGAAGAAGCACCGGCUAACUCCGUGCCAGCAGCCGCGGUAAUACGGAGGGUGCGAGCGUUAAUCGGAAUAACUGGGCGUAAAGGGCACGCAGGCGGUUAUUUAAGUGAGGUGUGAAAGCCCCGGGCUUAACCUGGGAAUUGCAUUUCAGACUGGGUAACUAGAGUACUUUAGGGAGGGGUAGAAUUCCACGUGUAGCGGUGAAAUGCGUAGAGAUGUGAAGGAAUACCGAAGGCGAAGGCAGCCCCUUGGGAAUGUACUGACGCUCAUGUGCGAAAGCGUGGGGAGCAAACAGGAUUAGAUACCCUGGUAGUCCACGCUGUAAACGCUGUCGAUUUGGGGGUUGGGGUUUAGCUCUGGCGCCCGUAGCUAACGUGAUAAAUCGACCGCCUGGGGAGUACGGCCGCAAGGUUA
rnacentral:rRNA from 1 species